GAUGAAGAACGUAGCGAAAUGCGAUAAGUAAUGUGAAUUGCAGAAUUCAGUGAAUCAUCGAAUCUUUGAACGCGCAUUGCGCCCGCCAGUAUUCUGGCGGGCAUGCCUGUUCGAGCGUCAUUUCAACCCUCAGGCCCCCAGUGCCUGGUGUUGGGGAUCGGCCCAGCCUUCCUGUAAGGCCGCCGGCCCCGAAAUCUAGUGGCGGUCUCGCUGUAGUCCUCCUCUGCGUAGUAGCACAACCUCGCAGUUGGAACGCGGCGGUGGCCAUGCCGUUAAACACCCCACUUCUGAAAGUUGACCUCGGAUCAGGUAGGAAUACCCGCUGAACUUAAGCAUAUCAAUAAGCGGAGGA
rnacentral:misc_RNA from 1 species